AGUCCCGCAACGAGCGCAACCCUUGUCCUUAGUUGCCAGCAUUUAGUUGGGGACUCUAAGGAGACUGCCGGUGUUAAACCGGAGGAAGGUGGGGACGAUGUCAAGUCAUCAUGGCCUUUAUGGGUAGGGCUACACACGUGUUACAAUGGACAGUACAAUAGGCAGCGAAACCGCGAGGUGGAGCAAAUCCUAAAAGCUGUUCGUAGUCCGGAUUGGAGUCUGCA
rnacentral:rRNA from 13 species